ACAUACGCGUAGAGUUUGAUCAUGGCUCAGGACGAACGCUGGCGGCGUGCUUAACACAUGCAAGUCGAACGAUGAAGCUCUUCGGAGUGGAUUAGUGGCGAACGGGUGAGUAACACGUGGGAAAUCUGCCCUGCACUCUGAGACAAGCCUUGGAAACGAGGUCUAAUACCGGAUAUGACCUUCCUCUGCAUGGGGGUUGGUGGAAAGCUCCGGCGGUGCAGGAUGAUCCCGCGGCCUAUCAGCUUGUUGGUGGGGUAAUGGCCUACCAAGGCGACGACGGGUAGCCGGCCUGAGAGGGCGACCGGCCACACUGGGACUGAGACACGGCCCAGACUCCUACGGGAGGCAGCAGUGGGGAAUAUUGCACAAUGGGCGAAAGCCUGAUGCAGCGACGCCGCGUGAGGGAUGACGGCCU
rnacentral:rRNA from 1 species